AAACACAAAAAGGAAGCUCCCACAUCUAAAUUUUCUCGAUGUGAUCCUUGUUGUCACUACUACAAAAAUGGGCAAAGAGACCCUUUAGAAAAGACCCGUUGGUCGACGUAACGGGUCUCUUUAAUUUAAGAGAUCUAAUAUUAUAGAUAACGGCUCUCUUAUGAGUUAAAUGGCCCAUUAAAAUUAGAGGGGUGAAAAAUAAAAGACCUGUUAUCUGAUUUAACGGGUCUCUAGCGUAUAAAAGGGGCCAUUUAAAUGCCGUGCAAAAUAAAAUAAAAGAAGCAAUAAACCCUUUAUUUACUUAACGGGUCUCUUAUGUAUCAAGGGAUCCACCACUUCUCGUAAAAAAUAAUUGGAAAAUAGCAAAAGAGCCGUCAUUUAACAUAACGGGUCUCUAUUUUCAUUCAUUUCCUGGCGCCAAGACUUUCGCAAAACCCAAUUUCACCCUAGGUUUUUCUUUUCCCUCUUUCUUCUUCCCUGGACAUACAACCCCUAGGUUUUUUCUUUGCCUCUUUCUUCUUCCCUGGACAUACAACCUAAGGCAACCAUCGACGAAUUCAUUGACGAACUCACCACUACCAACGGCUAAUCGGAGAACUAAGUUACGAUUGGCGACUUCACUCCCACUGGCGACCUCGACACAAUCGCUAGCAAACUACAAAUUUAGGUGUUUAAUAGAUACAAUGGUGUGAUUGAUGGAGUCCAGUUCUCAUCACAUGACCCUGUAGGUGGCCUACUAGCUAGAUCUACCCAUUGAUCCAUCUGCUGGUAUUCGUUGUGCAGAGGUUUGUUUCUUGUUGAAGGUAAGGUGUAAGGGAAGUUCACAUUUGGAAACCAGCCAAACAGUGUUGGAGGAGAACAUAUGCUUGUGCCCGCAUUGGCUAAUAAUUAGUAUUGUCAAUUUGUUGAUGCUUGUCACAAUUAUGUAAACUUUUGAGCCUUAUUUUAUUUUGUUAUUUUUAUAUUUUUGAAGAUUACAAUUGAUGUAAAGUGGGAAAUAAUUUAUUGGGUGAUUGUAAGAAUUAGUUUGAAAUUAAAAAUUUGGUUAAAUGCUGAUUUUUUAUGCCGAAAAAUGGUCGUUUAUGCUAU